GCCUAACACAUGCAAGUCGAGGGGUAUUAGGGGCUUGCUCCUAAGAGACCGGCGCACGGGUGCGUAACGCGUAUGCAAUCUGCCUUGUACAGAGGGAUAGCCCAGAGAAAUUUGGAUUAAUACUUCACGGUGUAUUGAUGUGGCAUCACAUUAUUACUAAAGCUUCGGCGGUACAAGAUGAGCAUGCGUCCCAUUAGCUAGUUGGUAAGGUAACGGCUUACCAAGGCUACGAUGGGUAGGGGUCCUGAGAGGGAGAUCCCCCACACUGGUACUGAGACACGGACCAGACUCCUACGGGAGGCAGCAGUGAGGAAUAUUGGUCAAUGGUCGGAAGACUGAACCAGCCAUGCCGCGUGCAGGAUGACGGCCCUAUGGGUUGUAAACUGCUUUUAUACGGGAAGAAACCCCGGUUCGUGAACCGGCUUGACGGUACCGUAAGAAUAAGGAUCGGCUAACUCCGUGCCAGCAGCCGCGGUAAUACGGAGGAUCCAAGCGUUAUCCGGAAUCAUUGGGUUUAAAGGGUCCGUAGGCGGUCUUAUAAGUCAGUGGUGAAAUCUGGUCGCUCAACGAUCAAACUGCCAUUGAUACUGUAAGACUUGAAUUACUGUGAAGUAACUAGAAUAUGUAGUGUAGCGGUGAAAUGCUUAGAGAUUACAUGGAAUACCAAUUGCGAAGGCAGGUUACUAACAGUAUAUUGACGCUGAUGGACGAAAGCGUGGGGAGCGAACAGGAUUAGAUACCCUGGUAGUCCACGCUGUAAACGAUGGAUACUAGUUGUUUGGAGCAAUCUGAGUGACUAAGCGAAAGUGAUAAGUAUCCCACCUGGGGAGUACGAACGCAAGUUUGAAACUCAAAGGAAUUUGACGGGGGCCCGCACAAGCGGUGGAGCAUGUGGUUUAAUUCGAUGGUACGCGAGGAACCUUACCAAGGCUU
rnacentral:rRNA from 1 species